GACGAACGCUGGCGGCGUGCUUAACACAUGCAAGUCGAACGGAAAGGCCCUGCUUUUGUGGGGUGCUCGAGUGGCGAACGGGUGAGUAACACGUGAGUAACCUGCCCUUGACUUUGGGAUAACUUCAGGAAACUGGGGCUAAUACCGGCUAGGAGCUCCUGCUGCAUGGUGGGGGUUGGAACGUUUCGGCGGGUGGGGAUGGACUCGCGGCUUAUCAGCUUGUUGGUGGGGUAGUGGCUUACCAAGGCUUUGACGGGUAGCCGGCCUGAGAGGGUGACCGGCGACAAGGGGACUGAGAGACGGACCAGACGGCUACGGGAGGCAGCAGGGGGGAAUAUGGCACAAUGAGCGGAAGCCUGAUGCGGCAACGCCGCGGGUGGGAUGACGGCUUUCGGGGUGUAAACCGCUUUCGCCUGUGACGAAGCGUGAGUGACGGUAAUGGGUAAAGAAGCACCGGCUAACUACGUG
rnacentral:rRNA from 1 species